rnacentral:tRNA from 1 species
GGUAAAAUGGCCGAGUGUCCAGGUAGUGGUUUGUAGCUCCAUUUACAGAGGUUUAAGUCCUCUUUUUACCA